GGCAGAACAGACCAAGCACCAUAUGGAAGUGAGAGAACCACGGUAUAGGCUCAGAGGAGGUGGAGGUCCCCCAGGUAUCCAGGCAACAUGGCUCCUUAGCCCUGGCGACAAUCCCAGAUUAACCAGAAGGGUGAGGUGACUGUGCCUUGAAUAAAGCUGAAGGUGACCUUAAGGCAAAACAUGGGACUGCCCUGAACAGCGUAACCUGACGCCCCAUAAAUGCUUAAAGUGACAGUAGUUUCAAUGGAGUGGUGCCAAGAGAAAUAAAAAUUCAACUCUACAGUCAGCUAUGGCCGCACACGCCUCUCAUCCCAGCACUUGAGAGGCAGAAGGAGGUGACUCUCUGAGCUUUGGAAAGCCUGCCCUACAGAGUGAGUUCCAGUCAAGGCUACAUAGCAGCACCAUGUCUUAAUAAGCAAAUAAAAUACUUACUAUAUGUGUUUGAUCUAA